rnacentral:rRNA from 1 species
GGGGAAUAUUGGACAAUGGGGGCAACCCUGAUCCAGCCAUGCCGCGUGAGUGAUGAAGGCCUUAGGGUUGUAAAGCUCUUUCGCCCGCGAAGAUAAUGACUGUAGCGGGAGAAGAAGCCCCGGCUAACUUCGUGCCAGCAGCCGCGGUAAUACGAAGGGGGCUAGCGUUGUUCGGAAUCACUGGGCGUAAAGCGUACGUAGGCGGGCAAUUAAGUCAGGGGUGAAAGCCUUGAGCUCAACUCAAGAACUGCCUUUGAUACUGGUUGCCUGGAGUCCGGGAGAGGUGAGUGGAACUGCUAGUGUAGAGGUGAAAUUCGUAGAUAUUAGCAAGAACACCAGUGGCGAAGGCGGCUCACUGGCCCGGUACUGACGCUGAGGUACGAAAGCGUGGGGAGCAAAC